rnacentral:rRNA from 1 species
UACGGAGGGGGCGAGCGUUAUUCGGAAUUAUUGGGCGUAAAGGGCGCGUAGGCGGCCCGGUAAGUCAAAGGUGAAAUCCCUCGGCUCAACUGAGGAACUGCCUUUGAAACUGUCGGGCUUGAGGCCGGGAGGGGGUAGCGGAAUUCCCAGUGUAGCGGUGAAAUGCGUAGAUAUUGGGAGGAACACCGGUGGCGAAGGCGGCUACCUGGACCGGUUCUGACGCUGAGGCGCGAAAGCGUGGGGAGCAAACAGG